rnacentral:lncRNA from 1 species
CUUCUUCUAAUGACACCAAUCCUGUGGGCGAAGAGGACGACACCGGAGACAACAAAUCUAAGAUUAUUAUGGUAGAGUACUUACCUAAGAUCGUAGUGAUUUUGGCCGGAGAGGAUAAACCUAGUUGCUUGGCCGUUCCGGUGAUUCCUCCACCGUCUUCCAUUUAUCCUUGUAACUGCGGCAAUGUUACUGUCGUCUCAACCUAACUCAUUUACUUCUCUUUUUUCUUUUGCCAGCACAAAGAAUAAGAGAUUUCAACUUUUGUAAUAAUCAUCGGCAAUUUUGUAGUAGUCGACUGUUUUUGAUGGGUGGUAGACUGGUAUAGUAUAGAUAAAGUUUUGUUUAAUGCUUUCUUAUGAACUGCAAAAGUUUUGUUUAAUCUUGAGAUUACUAUAUCGAAUAUAUUUGGAAUAGCCUAUGAAUUAUAUAUCUCUUUAAUACGAUGUUAAAACUUUAGAAUAUGUAAUUUGUCUUUUUAUGGUUUUAAGAUCUUUACUACAACGUAUGACCAUAUGUUCGGUUCGAAAAUUGCAAAUGACUUAUACGGUGCCAAUUUUCAGUGAUGAUCGUUUUAGUCUUCGACUGCUCCUACAAUGUUGUUCAUCAGCAAUUAUGCCAAGCAACAACACUAUGGGCUAGUAGAAAGCUACUAAUUACAUCUUCUUCUCUUUAGCAAGUAAUUACAGACCAUUGUUUACUGGUAUUGGGCCUAUUGGCUAAAUAACAGUAAAAUAAUAUUAUAAAUGAUAAAAAGGCAAGCUUUUUGCUUUGAUGUGGCAUUUUGUUACAUAAUAAGAGCAUAAGAAAAUAUAAUAAUGCAUUUCAUAACUUUCACAUUGAUUGGCGUCUAUUGGAGUAUUGGUGGUGGACGCCGCGGCCUGAAAACGCAAAGAGUUGGACGGUCCAAAGUGGAUAUUACUUUUGCUUUUGUGUGGCUAUUAUGUGGUCGCCACUCUUUUCUCAAGUGCACUUUAAUUAUGCUGCUUAGGCAGAUAGGUUUUUAUUAAAUUAUGUAAUUGUUGGUAAUGGUAACUAUAAAACUGUAUAUAGUUAAAAUAGGAAAAAUUGCUUAUUCCCCUACCAACUAGUUGUUCCCGGCUUUUUCACACAUGAACUUUUAAGUCAUGGCAAAAACCACAUGAACAAUGGAAAAAUGACUUAUUCCCUUAUGAACUAGUUGUUCCCGGCUAUUUCACACACAAACUUUUAAGUCAUGCCAAAAACCACAUGAACAACUACAUGCACAAACUAUCGAUUUUAAACUAAUUCCCAUAGAACCGUAACAGUGUAAUUUAAACGUUAACUUGAUUUAUGAUAGGUGGAGCUUGAGACGGUUUAAUUUGGGUUGAUAAAAACAGAAUACUACGUCGUUUUUUUCUUUUUCUUCUUCUUUUUGUCAACUUCUCUUCUUCUUCAGAAAUCGUUUUACUCUUCAUCAUCAAUUAGGGAUAAAAUUUAUUAUCAUACAGAAAAAUAAAACAUUUUACAUGAUACAUAAAGAAAGAAGAUCAACAAAUACUAACUUACCAAUCUCCAUGUAUUGUCACAAGGAACUAUAAAAUUGACGUAGUCUAGGACGCUUGAUUGGUUCCAUAAGCGGAUGUUACUCUCAGGUUCUGGUCCUGCAGGAAUUUAUAUAUUCUCUUCAAUCCAGAAAUUAAUGUCAUACGAUCUCUUUAUAUGCUUUAUGUCAUAUAACUCGAAAAUAUCUAUCCACCCAGUUACUAUGUCAUAUAACUCGAAAAUUAAGAAUAAAUUUUUGUAUCCUCAGUUGAUGAUGAAGAGUAAAAAGAUUUCUGAAGAAGAAGAGCAGUUGACAAAAAGAAGAAGAACAAAACGGCAUAGUAUUCUAUUUUUGUCAACCUAAAUGAAACAGACUAUCUACCUGUCAUAAACCAAGUUAACGUUUAAACAACACCAUUUACGGUUUUAGGGAAAUUAGUUUAAAAUUGAUAGUUUGUGUAUGUAAUUCAAAAAAUAGAAUUUUUCAUGUGAUUUUUGGCAUGACCUAAAAGUUUGUGUGUGAAAUAGCCGGAAACAACUAGUUCAUAGGGGAAUAAAUUAUUUUUCCGUUGUUCAUGUGGUUUUUGGCAUGACUUAAAAGUUCGUGUGUGAAAAAACCGGGAACAACUAGUUCAUAGGGAAAUAAGCUACUUUCCCAGUUAAAAUAUACUUGCUCUUUCUAUAAUAUAAAACUAGGUGAUUUUCAUGUGCUCAUACACGGGUAUAAAUAUUUACAAGUAAAUAUACUAUAAUAAUUGAUUGUUAUUUAUUUUUAAUUUUAAAUGAAUUUAUAAUUUGUAUGCAUAAUUUAUAUUAAUAAUAUUAUAUUUCUUUAAUUAGAUAUAUGAUUUUAGAUAUAUUAUAUCUAGUCAGUUUUGUUGUUUUUUAGAGUCUAUUUAGUUAUCAUUUGGGUAUAUUAGAUUGCAUCUAUUUUUCUGAAUUCAACUAUAAUAAUUUCUUUAUUUUAAAUAUAUUAAAAUUAUGAUUAAUUUUCUAAUUUUCAUUUACGUUGGUUGUUGGCUUAGAUAUGUAAAUAUAUUUGAGGAAGAUUAUGUUGAACUUAAGAUAUAUUGGUCUUAGAAUGUAGUAUAAAAUAAACUAAAGUGUCUGAUUCCAAAUUAUGUAAAUUACUAUAACGAUAAUAUUCUACAGUAUCAUGCACAUAUAUAAAUUUUACAAAAGAACUAAAUUAUAACAGUUGGUUAAUAUUUUAUUUUCAUUUGUUCAAAUAAACUAAAAUUUCUGAUUCCAAAUUAUGUAAAUUACUAUAACGAUAAUAUUCUACAGUCUCAUGCAUAUAUAUAAAUUUUACAAAAGAACUAAAUUAUAACAGUUGGUUAUUAUUUUAUUUUCAUUUGUUAAUAUGUUUUGAGUUAUCCUAUAAUUUACAUUUAUAAAAUAAAUGAUUAUUAUAAAUUAUAUAUUCUUAUUGUAAUUAAAUAUAUGAUUUUAGAUAUAACAUGGAUUAGUCAAACUGAAGUAUAUUUUUUUUAUAAUUAAGUAAAAUCAAAUUAAUUUUAUUUAUUGUUUAAAUGUGAAUGUAUUUUCAUAAUAUUUAUCAUAUUAUAUCUUGAUUUAAAAAAAUAUAUAUCAGAAAAUAAAGUGAUGAUCAAUAUGAAGUUACAUAUAUAAGUAACUAAUACAUUUUUGGAAGCUCAUGAAUACAUAUCAAUAUUUAAAAUAAUUAAACUAAAAUGGUAAAGUGAAAUUUAUUUUAAAUAAUCUUAGAAAUGAGAAUUAAUAUUUGCUUUGGUAUUUUAAUUAUAGUUAUAUUAAGUUCCACAAACAUAAAACAUAAAAUUUAAAAGCAGAUUUAAUAUUAUGAAAAAAAAUAAUUUUAAUAAUGAUAAAAAUAUAAUAUAUCUACCUCGUUAAAGUAUAUAGUGUUAUGUUAUUUAAAAUAUUUUGUAAUUAUUUGAUCAAAAGAUGUUUACAGUUAAUUCUUCUUUUAAUAUCUCUUAAAAAUAAGCAGUUUAAAAAAAUUGUGUGAUUGCAUUUAAAAAAAUCAUAUUAUAUAAGUAAGAAUACAAUUUAUAGUUUUUUUUCCAUAAUUGAAAGAUAUUAUAGUCAACUAAAUAUAUGAAAAAUAAAUAAAACAUUUCAAUAAUACUAAUUAUAAACUAUUUUUAGUCAAUUAAACAUAUAUCAGUUUAUGUUACUUAAUUAUUUUAUGUAAUCAUCAAAGAAAAUAGAUAGAUAUAUAAAAAUUAUUUCUAUUACUUUGAAAAUAUAUAUUUUUGUAUUGUUUAAAUUAUGAAUUAAUUUUUCUAAUAUCUAGAUUAUGUGUGUGAAUGUUGUUUUAUGAAAUCACAUUAUAUGCAAAUACAUAUUUUCAUCUAAGAAAAUAUAGAUAUAAAGAAAUAUUUUAUUACUUCAAAAGUAUAUUUUAUGUUAUUUAAAAGUAUUUUUUAAACGAAAUAUUUCCAUUUUGUGAAUUUUUCUCUUUAAUGAAAUCAUAUUAUAUAUACAUAUGUUUUUCGUUUUUAAUUUUUUUUUUUAACUUUAUAAAUGUUUCCUUUUUUUAUUAUAUAUGUUAUUUGAAUUUUUUUUAAAAAGGAAACUAAAUAAAAAAAUUCAGUAAUAGUAUUUAAAUGUAAUAUUUUUAAUUCAUUAAGGGUAUCAUCGUAAUCAACCAUCGUGAGAAUUAUCGUGAGUGCGACACAUAAUAAACUGACUUUUCAAAUAAUAUUAUAGAAAUGUUUAGGUAAAACACAAGAACUAUAUAUAUAUAUAUAUAUAUAUAUAUAUAUAUAUAUUAUUUUUAAAAAAUAGUUUAUAUAUCUAAAAUAUAAAUAUGUUAUUUCUGAGUUUUAUAGCCAAUAAUUUAUUGUAUUUUAAUUUCUUAAGAGAGAUUUUUAAGAUAUAAAUUAUAAAAAGUUAUAAACUAAAACACACAUAGAAAUAUACAUCCUUAAUCCGUAAUGAAUUAUUUUAUUCUUAAACAUUAAACUGGUGAAGUUGCAAAACACAAUCAUUUAUUAACUUUUUAAAUAUUGUCUAAAAGGUGAAAUAGAAAAUAAGAAAGGUUUAUUGCAUAUAUUUUCUUUACAUUUUUUCAUAGUUGAACUUACAACAAUACAAGUGAGAAAAACAGUAAUAAGAACAAAGAAAAAUGAGGGCGACACCAAAAGUAGAAAUAUGGAAGUCACCAAUACCAUACCUCUUUGGUGGUUUGUUUUUGCUUAUUUUGCUUAUAGCUUUAGCAUUACUCUCAUUGGUCUGCACAAACAAAAAGACUCCUUCUUCUUCAUCUUCUUCUAAUGACACCAAUCCUGUGGGCGAAGAGGACGACACCGGAGACAACAAAUCUAAGAUUAUUAUGGUAGAGUACUUACCUAAGAUCGUAGUGAUUUUGGCCGGAGAGGAUAAACCUAGUUGCUUGGCCGUUCCGGUGAUUCCUCCACCGUCUUCCAUUUAUCCUUGUAACUGCGGCAAUGUUACUGUCGUCUCAACC